rnacentral:tRNA from 1 species
GGAGGUAAAUUGUAUUAGUGGAAGCUUCUAACUUCCUUCUAAAGCGGUUAAAUUCCGUUUUUACCUUUA